GGGAUUUAGCUCAGUGCACAGUGCUUGCCUGGCAAGCAUGAGGUCCUGGGUUUGAACCCCAGUUCCCA
rnacentral:tRNA from 1 species